UUUCCACUCCUGUCAUUUGGCCUCCUGAUUUAUUUUCUUUUUAGCCAGCGUUUUCAUAUUUCUGCCCCAGGACUUUAUUGUGCACAUUAAAUUUGGCUAUAUAAACUAUUUUUCCUUGGAUUUUUAUCUCUGGUGAACCUCUAUCUUUGUCUCAGGUUUUUGUUCUUCUUUUCGUUUUCUAUUUUUCUUAUUUUGAUUGCCUUCGCUGUUGGUGUGGGUUUUGAUUAUGUUGUUUGCGUUUUCUGGUCACCUUUUCUCUACCUUGUGCCUCUAAAAAGAAAAUAAAUCAGCUUCUUAGUCAUUUAAAUCUCUAACUAACAAUUUAACAAUCUACGUUUUCAGCAAUUGCUGCUGUUUUCCAUGCAUCGACAGAGGUGCUUGGGAGCCUUCAGAUCAGUGGUAAAUCAAUGUGGCAUUGUCGUCACAAACGUAUUUGAUGAUGACUUGGACGAGGGGCUGGACAGCACCCCUGUCGAUGCAUGGACACCUCUCACAGUGGCUUCAACAAGCAUGACAGCUGAUGCAUUGAGCUCUAGUGCUCCCCCUCCAUCGAGCCAGGAACUCCGGCAAUCCUCGCUCCACCUCACGCUGAUCCAGAAUCUUCCUUAAAGCAGCAGCUAAAGUCCUCACAGCUCCAGGACAACCUCCGACUCAUCUGCCCGCCACAAACAAGAAGGCUUCAGUUUGAUCAUACAGUGGUAGAAGACCUCGCUUCAGUUACUCGAUAUUAAAUUUGAAUAUCAUUAAGUUAUGUUAUUACCCGCUUUUCACUGAGUAAGGAGACAACAUGCACAGCGAUACACGUCUUCCUACCAAUCAUUAAACAAUGCCUAGAAAUUGCCUUGCAUCUUCUUUAAUCUUCACAUUUUUUUUUUUUUGCUUGGACCACGGAAACUAAUAAUAUCUUUAUCAAUCUCUUAAUUUUUUAAAACAGUCUUACCAAAAGCAAAGGAGCUAUCUUUGCAGAACAUGUUGAAGUAGAGGGAAGCCCUCUUCUGUUAACCGCUUAGAAACACCACCCAAGAAAAUGUGAUCCUCAAAGGACUCGCUGUGAGGAUGCUCCACCACCUUUUUGCGAGGGCUCGAGUCAGCUUAUAAUUUUUUUGACGUUGCUUCCACAUGGUAGCUGCUUAACAGCACCAGCAUUUCCAUCUCCAACCAUCAACAACUGAGUCCUCCGAGCACACAACUCCCUAGUUCAGCAUGUGCCUACUUGCUUUUUGUUAGCAGAGACAAAGCUCACUCAAACUAACACUCUUUUCAUGUAAAUUUUGGAACUGCAAUCUGUUCGUUUCCAUAAAACUAAAGUUUCGCUUGCCAUUCCACCGAUUUUAUAUUU